GGGCUUUUAGCUCAGUGGUAGAGCGCGCGCUUCGCAUCCUUGAGGGUCUACACCUCGGAGCCUGCGUGAGGUCACCGGAUCGAUCCCGGUAAGGUCCA
rnacentral:tRNA from 1 species